GCAACCGCCCGGACGGGCCGCAGCCUCGGGGCCCGCGGCCUCCGCUUCCCCGGCCGGCGCGGGCAGCCCGGAGCCCGGCCCCGCCGCUCCGCCUGGGGAGAAGGAGCCGCUGGCGGGGCCGAGACCGCACCGGGUCCGUGCACGGAAAAGCCACCGGCAGGUUGUGUGAUCUGCUCCGGGGCGGGGGGAGGCAGGCGCUGGACACGUCCCACUGCGCUACCCGGACGCGGCCGCUGCAAAACAGCCGAAUGCGAAGUCGCUGAGCUUAGCGGUGGAACAAGCGCGAUCUGCCUUUCCCCUCCUUCCUGCCGAGCUCCUGGGAAGAUGCGCCUCUGCCCGCACACACAGCAGCGUCCGUGCACCUGCAGGUCGUGUUCACCCACAACGAGACCCAGCCUGAGCAAAUGCAACUGCCUCCCGUAGCGCAGCCGCGCCGACCGGCACCAGCCCUCCGCAGCGCCAGGCCGGGGCCCCCGGGCUCCCCGCGCCGAGCACGGAUGCGCCGCCCCCGGCCGCCCGCCCGGUCCCACGGAGCAGCAGCUGCGGCCCCGGCCGCUCCAGGCCCGCCCGCCCAGCGCUCACCGGCCAAGCGCUGGACCCGGCGCUGUCCCUCGUCCGCGCCGGUGCCGCUCCCGCUGCAGGAACGGGCCGCGGAGCCGCCCCGGGCCCGGUUGUGGCUCUGACUGUUCCCGCCGCGCCGCGGAACCGCCCGGCCCGGCUGUGCCGCUGGCGGCCGCCGAGCGCCGCUCCCCUCUGGGUGCCGGCGCCGCCGCUCCGGGCCGCCCCUUCGCUCCGUUUCACUCGGAUCUCUGCAGCUCCUCGCCCGAUUGCAGGGAAGGGAGGUGGCCCCCCACGUUUUUACUCACUGAAAGCGGUGGGUUGGCGAGACCUCACUCGAGUUGUACCAGGGUUACAGACAGAGUAAAGCAAGUUUAGAAACUAAUCUUCGCCUGGGCUUUGAACACACUGAUACAGGGCACUGGAACCGCACGAAGAAGCAAAGGUAGUUUUCUGCCUCCUAAGUGAAAAUACCCGCACCUGAAAGCCGGAUUAGUCACACCUGCUCCUUCCCGUGUAUCUUUAAACGAAACGCGCCCCAAGGAAGUCGGAACUCUGUGUUCAGCGAUGGGUAUCUUUACAGCACAGGGCGCUUUGUGAUGCGCCCGGGUGGCGAACAGCGCGGGGCCGCGGCCGCUGCCCCCGCGCCCGGAGCCGCCGCCGGCUCGGCGAUGGGUCCGGCAGAUGAUGGGCCCGGGUCCGGGUCCGGGCUCGGGCGAUGGGUCCGGCAGCCCGAACGGGCGGAGCCGCUCCCGGGCCGGGCCCCGCGGAUGGGAAACGUCCCGGGCACCGCACCUGCCCCACAAAACGCCUCCGGGCUCUCGUUUACAUGCGUCUCUUGAACCUCUGCGGGUUAAAUUUGAGACUUUCAACAAUUUACCUUGUCAGGUUACCUGUGUAACUAACUAACGCCUCGAGAUGGAUUAGGGCUAUUUAUGGUCUUGCAGUUCAUAGCUCUGGUGAAUUCAUCUACAAACGAGGCUUCAGCCAGAGGCUGAAAAGGCAGCAGUUGUGUUUUUAUUUUAUGUUUUUAUUUCUGAACCGGAGGUAAUCACGAAGCAGUUUACGGUGCACACCGACUGAACUGCUGGGAGCUGGCACCUCGGGAACGGCUCAUGAAGGUGCACUCCUCUGUACAUCAGCGCUCGGAUACGAACUCCUGACCGCCUCCUCGCUUCGUACCGUGUUUUGAUCAACACCAGGACUGUGUUCUAUUACACAGGUUUUCAUGGGAAAAAUAAUAACCCCGUUAAUUGGCAGGACAUUAAAAGGCAACUCAUUAAUAAGAAAUGUGACCAUUUACUAAUUUCCCCAUAAUCCCCAAUGCCCAAAUUAAAGGGACAGACACAGCCGUAUUCACCACGAUCAGUUUUAUUGCUUGAGAACCGGAGUACUCACUUGUAAAGGCCUCGGACGUUACUGUGAGUCGCGUUCGCUUACACAGAACUGCCGUGCGGUUACAGCGCGGCACGGUAACGCCGCGGAGCCGCGGACGCCCCUCGGGCAGCAGGGCUGAGCACAAACCAGACCCUGCUGCUGAGAAAACACUCUGCAAGCGGACAUCGAAUAAUUUUAAAUGGUAGUGAUUUAUAUCAAAAUCAAGCAUCAAUCUAAUGCCAUCACGCAGUCCAUGAACUCUGUAGUGUUCUAAAUUAAAUCAAUAAAACAUACAUUUGUGUUUCA